CUUUGCAGUAGUGGACUCAAGAAUUUAGAAGCUAUUGUUCCUCUUGCUGUAAACAAUACGUGAGCUCUUGUGCUUUAAGGCAGCUGGAAAUGCAGCAUUUCAAUCAGGAAAGCAUCCAGAAGCUGUUAAGCAUUAUACUGCCGCAGUAUCAUGUAAUUGUGAUGCGUCCUUUCACAGCAAUCUGUUUCUACAAUCGCGCUGCUGCAUGCCCAGCUAUGGGCCAAAUUUCAGACGCCAUUGCAGAUUGCAGCCUGGCAAUUGCCCUUGAUGGGAAUUAUGCAAGGUAUGGUUCCAAAUUGAUCUUUCGGUGCAGCUAUUGAAUGCAAUUUCUUUCUUGGGCCUACUUUCUUUGUGGUAGUCCUUGGAGGGAGAACCUUUUGAUUACCCAUCUUUUGUCUUCUAACAUAAACUCCCUCAAAUGCUCAGAAGGAAACGAGAAAACGGUUUCCUCUGGUAGUUUAUUAUUCCAGAAGUUGAAAGCUUGUACUGUUCAAAGUUGUUGAUAUGCUUUUGCCUUUUUCUCUUUUUUUUUUUUUUUUUUGAUGAAAUAAGUAGUUCCAUUAAGACGCAUCAAGGAGAUGCUGAAAUUACAUAUGGGAACACAAAAAUAACGAUAGCUCCUGUACAAAAAGGCCUAUUCUAAAGUCAGAGAGCUAACAAAGUCCAAGAGCUGCACGGAACUGUUUAAAAUAGUAAGAUUGUUGCAACAAAAUAAAUUAAGAAGACACUUAGCCUUUCGGGAAUGUGUCAGAGUUGAGAUUCCAUCAAAACAUCUGCGGUUUCUCCCAGUCCAAACAAACCAAAAAAUACUUGCAGGGAUCUUGAUCCAGUUUUUCUUGAGGUCCUAUCAACUAUCCAAUAUCCAUGAGCACCAACUUUUAUAGGCAUUUUUAACUUAGCUGGGGUGACCCA